rnacentral:rRNA from 1 species
AGUGAACGCUGGCGGUAGGCCUAACACAUGCAAGUCGAACGGCAGCACAGUAAGAGCUUGCUCUUACGGGUGGCGAGUGGCGGACGGGUGAGGAAUACAUCGGAAUCUACUUUUUCGUGGGGGAUAACGUAGGGAAACUUACGCUAAUACCGCAUACGACCUACGGGUGAAAGCAGGGGAUCUUCGGACCUUGCGCGAUUGAAUGAGCCGAUGUCGGAUUAGCUAGUUGGCGGGGUAAAGGCCCACCAAGGCGACGAUCCGUAGCUGGUCUGAGAGGAUGAUCAGCCACACUGGAACUGAGACACGGUCCAGACCCCUACGGGAGGCAGCAGUGGGGAAUAUUGGACAAUGGGCGCAAGCCUGAUCCAGCCAUACCGCGUGGGUGAAGAAGGCCUUCGGGUUGUAAAGCCCUUUUGUUGGGAAAGAAAAGCAGCAGGUUAAGACCCCGCUGUUCUGACGGUACCCAAAGAAUAAGCACCGGCGAACUUCGU